rnacentral:rRNA from 1 species
CCUACGGGUGGCAGCAGUGAGGAAUAUUGGUCAAUGGCCGAAAGUCUGAACCAGCCAAGUAGCGUGAAGGAUGACUGCCCUAUGGGUUGUAAACUUCUUUUAUCAAGGGAUAAAAUGAUGCACGAGUGCCUUUUUGUGUGUACUUUAUGAAUAAGGAUCGGCUAACUCCGUGCCAGCAGCCGCGGUAAUACGGAGGAUCCGAGCGUUAUCCGGAUUUAUUGGGUUUAAAGGGAGCGUAGGCGGGUUGUUAAGUCAGUAGUGAAAGUUUGCGGCUCAACCGUAACAUUGCAGUUGAAACUGGCAGUCUUGAGUACAGGAGAGGUAGGCGGAAUGCGUGGUGUAGCGGUGAAAUGCUUAGAUAUCACGAAGAACUCCGAUUGCGAAGGCAGCUUACCGGACUGCAACUGACACUGAGGCUCGAAAGUGUGGGUAUCAAACAGGAUUAGAUACCCCAGUAGUC